GCACUGCUGAGGAGUCCCACAAUACGACGAUACGGCCGUCCAGUGC
rnacentral:hammerhead_ribozyme from 1 species